rnacentral:rRNA from 1 species
UAACGGUCCUAAGGUAGCAAAUUUCCUUGUCGUCUUAAUAACGACCUGCAUGAAACAUAGAACGAUUUGAUAGCUGUCUUGCACACACAUCAUGGUAAAAUAUUCAUCAGUACAAAUAAUAUGCUGCUGACACUAAAGGACAAAAAGACCCUUUGAAGCUUUAUAGGGAUAAAACUCAGCUUUAAAUCAACAAACAAUGAACUCCAUCUUGUUGCUUCUCCGCUUUUUAAAUUGCUAAAGCCUUACAAGAUUUACAACAUCAAGACCACUGUUUAAUUGGGGCGAUAACCUUAUCCACAGCCACCUAAGGUGAACAAAGCGAUACAAGGAUCCUAAAUACUAAUUUGACCAACUAAUAAGUGCAAAGAUACAUGUUUUGCUUAAUGGCCCAACAAGUCCUUCCCAGUACUUAAAUGCUAUCUUAAUGAGCUUUAAAUUA